CCUACGGGWGGCAGCAGUAGGGAAUCUUCCGCAAUGGGCGAAAGCCUGACGGAGCAAUGCCGCGUGAGUGAUGAAGGUUUUCGGAUCGUAAAGCUCUGUUGCCAGGGAAGAACGCUUGGGAGAGUAACUGCUCUCAAGGUGACGGUACCUGAGAAGAAAGCCCCGGCUAACUACGUGCCAGCAGCCGCGGUAAUACGUAGGGGGCAAGCGUUGUCCGGAAUUAUUGGGCGUAAAGCGCGCGCAGGCGGUCAUUUAAGUCUGGUGUUUAAUCCCGGGGCUCAACCCCGGAUCGCACUGGAAACUGGGUGACUUGAGUGCAGAAGAGGAGAGUGGAAUUCCACGUGUAGCGGUGAAAUGCGUAGAUAUGUGGAGGAACACCAGUGGCGAAGGCGACUCUCUGGGCUGUAACUGACGCUGAGGCGCGAAAGCGUGGGGAGCAAACAGGAUUAGAUACCCYAGUAGUCA
rnacentral:rRNA from 1 species